rnacentral:lncRNA from 1 species
CGUACGUGUAGCCCUCGCCGAAGAAGUACUUGUUGCGCAGCGGGGCGCGGUCCACCGUGUGCUCGUUGUACAGGCCCUUCUCGGCGCGGGACACCACCUCGUCGAUGCGGGCCUCGAUCUUGGCGCACUCGUCCUGGCUGAAGAGGCGCAUCUGGCGAAUGCCGCUCUUCACCUUGCGCGCCUCCUCCUCCUUCUGCAGCUGCUGCUCCUCGUAGUCGCUGCGCUCGGGGUCCGAGUCCUCCUGGUAUUUGCGCUUGGCCCCGGACACCGGGUAAGGCUCGGCGGCGGCGGCGGCGGCGGCGCCCGCCGCUGCCUCCCGGCUGCCCGCCUUAUAGUUGUCCCGGGACGUCAUGGACUUGAGCUUCUCACGCAGGU